UUUUUAAAACGCAGAUCUUCGAACCUUGAAACGCACGCAUAGUUUCCUCGCUCAGAUAUAAUCUAAACCAAAUACACAGAGAGAAAGACAGGGAAGAGGAAAUGGCCAUGGCGAGGGCAAGCUCUGGCCUCGCGUACCCCGAACGAUUCUAUGCAGCGGCGGCAUACGCUGGAUUUGACGGAUCUCCUAAUUCAGCCAAUAGCGUCUCCUCUAAGUUCCAAAACGACACCGCUUUGCUCCUCUACGCUUUGUACCAGCAGGCAACUGUCGGACCUUGUAAUACACCAAAACCGAGCACUUGGAAUGCUGUAGAACAAAGCAAAUGGAAGAGCUGGUAUGGGCUUGCCAGCAUGCCUCCCGCAGAAGCAAUGCGUCUCUUUGUGAAGAUAUUGGAGGAAGAAGACCCAGGUUGGUAUUCUAGAGCAUCUAACUUUGUUUCUGAGCCUGUUUUAGACAUCCAAACGAAUCAUAACCCAAAAGUUGAGCAUGUUGUCGAGAAUGGAAACUCUUCCCCAGAGACAAAGACUAUUUCCAGUGAGAAUGGGAGUGUUAUAGAACCUCAGGAUAAAGAUGUUGUCUCGGAAGGCUUUGGUUCAGUCAUUGUUUAUGAUCAAUGGAUUGCCCCUCCAAUAUCUGGCCAACGCCCA
rnacentral:misc_RNA from 1 species